UACGGGGGGGAGCAAGCGUUAAUCGGAAUUACUGGGCGUAAAGCGUGCGUAGACGGUUAUUUAAGUCAGGUGUGAAAGCCCCGGGCUCAACCUGGGAAUUGCAUUUGAGACUGAAUAGCUAGGGUGCGGAAGAGGGAAGCGGAAUUUCCGGUGUAGCGGUGAAAUGCGUAGAUAUACGGAAGGAACACCAGUGGCGAAAGCGGCUUCCUGGUCCAGCACCGACGUUCAGGCACGAAAGCGUGGGGAGCAAACAGG
rnacentral:rRNA from 1 species